rfam:Myotis brandtii contig250869, whole genome shotgun sequence.
GGCGGUUCUUGGGUGAUGUAUCCAGAAAUUGGGCUCCCUCCUCUCUGGUUCUGGUGCAUCACCUGAGAACUGCA